rnacentral:rRNA from 1 species
GACGAACGCUGGCGGCGUGCUUAACACAUGCAAGUCGAACGGUAAGGCCCUUCGGGGUACACGAGUGGCGAACGGGUGAGUAACACGUGGGUGAUCUGCCCUGCACUUCGGGAUAAGCCUGGGAAACUGGGUCUAAUACCGGAUAGGACCACUGCCCGCAUGGGUGGUGGUGGAAAGCUUUUGCGGUGUGGGAUGGGCCCGCGGCCUAUCAGCUUGUUGGUGGGGUGAUGGCCUACCAAGGCGACGACGGGUAGCCGGCCUGAGAGGGUGACCGGCCACACUGGGACUGAGAUACGGCCCAGACGCCUACGGGAGGCAGCAGUGGGGAAUAUUGCACAAUGGGUGCAAGCCUGAUGCAGCGACGCCGCGUGAGGGAUGACGGCCUUCGGGUUGUAAACCUCUUUCAGCACCGACGAAGCGCAAGUGACGGUAGGUGCAGAAGAAGGACCGGCCAACUACGUGCCAGCCGCCGCCGUAA